rnacentral:rRNA from 1 species
UAGUCCACGCCGUAAACGAUGGAUACUAGCUGUCCGGGCCCUUGUGGCCUGGGCGGCCAAGCGAAAGUGAUAAGUAUCCCACCUGGGGAGUACGUUCGCAAGAAUGAAACUCAAAGGAAUUGACGGGGGCCCGCACAAGCGGUGGAGCAUGUGGUUUAAUUCGAUGAUACGCGAGGAACCUUACCAGGGCUUAAAUGCAUACUGACAGGUCCAGAGAUGGAUUUUCCUUCGGGCAGUUUGCAAGGUGCUGCAUGGUUGUCGUCAGCUCGUGCCGUGAGGUGUCAGGUUAAGUCCUAUAACGAGCGCAACCCCUACCGUUAGUUGCCAGCAUUUAAAGAUGGGGACUCUAACGGGACUGCCGGUGCAAACCGCGAGGAAGGUGGGGACGACGUCAAAUCAUCACGGCCCUUACGUCCUGGGCCACACACGUGCUACAAUGGCCGGUACAGAGAGCAGCCAUGUCGCGAGGCAGAGCGAAUCUAUAAAACCGGUCACAGUUCGGAUCGGGGUCUGCAACCCCG